rnacentral:tRNA from 1 species
AUUUACUUAGUAUAUUAGUAUAUUUGACUUCCAAUCAAAAGGAUAGAUUAAAAUCUAAGUAAAUA